GACAGAGGGUGCAAACGUUGUUCGGAAUUACUGGGCGUAAAGGGCUCGUAGGUGGCCAACUAAGUCGGACGUGAAAUCCCUCGGCUUAACCGGGGAACUGCGUCCGAUACUGGUUGGCUUGAGUUUGGGAGAGGGAUGCGGAAUUCCAGGUGUAGCGGUGAAAUGCGUAGAUAUCUGGAGGAAUACCGGUGGCGAAGGCGGCAUCCUGGACCAUUACUGACGCUGAGGCGCGAAAGCUAGGGGAGCAAACGGG
rnacentral:rRNA from 1 species